AAGUCGUAACAAGGUCUCCGUUGGUGAACCAGCGGAGGGAUCAUUACUGAGUGUAAAAACUCCCAAACCCAUGUGAACGUACCACUGUUGCUUCGGCAGGAACGCCCCGGGCGCCCCCUCUCCGGGGGAGGUGCCCCGGAACCAGGCGCCUGCCGGGGGACCUAAACUCUUGAAUUUCGUGUAUCUUCUGAGUGGAUUUCAUAAAUCAAUCAAAACUUUCAACAACGGAUCUCUUGGCUCUGGCAUCGAUGAAGAACGCAGCGAAAUGCGAUAAGUAAUGCGAAUUGCAGAAUUCAGUGAAUCAUCGAAUCUUUGAACGCACAUUGCGCCCGCCAGUAUUCUGGCGGGCAUGCCUGUCUGAGCGUCAUUUCGACCCUCGUCACCCGGCCUCGUGCCUGGGCUGGCGGUGUUGGGGAUCGGCCGCGCGGCCGGCCCCUAAAUGCAGUGGCGAUCACGCCGCGGCCUCCUCUGCGCAGUAACUUUCACGAGCCUCGCAGGCGGAGAGCGGUGCGGUCACGCCGUAAAACCCCCCAAUCUUUCCAAGGUUGACCUCAGAUCAGGUAGGAAUACCCGCUGAACUUAA
rnacentral:rRNA from 1 species